AUUGAACGCUGGCGGCAGACCUAACACAUGCAAGUCGAACGAGUGGCGGACGGGUGAGUAAUGUAUGGGAAACUGCCUGAUGGAGGGGGAUAACUACUGGAAACGGUAGCUAAUACCGCAUACCAUCAGAUGUGCCCAGGUUGGAAUAGCUUGGUGGUGGGGUAACGGCUGACCAAGGCGAUGAACCCUAGCUGGUCUGAGAGGAUGAACAGCCACACUGGAACUGAGACACGGUCCAGACUCCUACGGGCGGCAGCAGUGGGGAAUAUUGCACAAUGGGCGCAAGCCUGAGGCAGCCAUGCCGCGUGUAUGAAGAAGGCCUUCGGGUUGUAAAGUACUUUCAGCGGGGAGGCGUUACCCGCAGAAGAAGCACCGGCUAACUCCGUGCCAGCAGCCGCGGUAAUAC
rnacentral:rRNA from 1 species